AAUCCAUAGGUUAAUGAGGCGAACCGGGGGAACUGAAACAUCUAAGUACCCCGAGGAAAAGAAAUCAACCGAGAUUCCCCCAGUAGCGGCGAGCGAACGGGGAGGAGCCCAGAGCCUGAAUCAGCAUGUGUGUUAGUGGAAGCGUCUGGAAAGGCGCGCGAUACAGGGUGACAGCCCCGUACACAAAAGCGCAUGUGCUGUGAGCUCGAUGAGUAGGGCGGGACACGUGGUAUCCUGUCUGAAUAUGGGGGGACCAUCCUCCAAGGCUAAAUACUCCUGACUGACCGAUAGUGAACCAGUACCGUGAGGGAAAGGCGAAAAGAACCCCGGCGAGGGGAGUGAAAAAGAACCUGAAACCGUGUACGUACAAGCAGUGGGAGCACAGGUUUACCUGUGUGACUGCGUACCUUUUGUAUAAUGGGUCAGCGACUUAUAUUCUGUAGCAAGGUUAACCGAAUAGGGGAGCCGGAGGGAAACCGAGUCUUAAUUGGGCGUUAAGUUGCAGGGUAUAGACCCGAAACCCGGUGAUCUAGCCAUGGGCAGGUUGAAGGUUGGGUAACACUAACUGGAGGACCGAACCGACUAAUGUUGAAAAAUUAGCGGAUGACCUGUGGCUGGGGGUGAAAGGCCAAUCAAACCGGGAGAUAGCUGGUUCUCCCCGAAAGCUAUUUAGGUAGCGCCUCGUGAAUUCAUCUCCGGGGGUAGAGCACUGUUUCGGCUAGGGGGCCAUCCCGGCUUACCAACCCGAUGCAAACUGCGAAUACCGGAGAAUGUUAUCACGGGAGACACACGGCGGGUGCUAACGUCCGUCGUGAAGAGGGAAACAACCCAGACCGCCAGCUAAGGUCCCAAAGUCAUGGUUAAGUGGGAAACGAUGUGGGAAGGCCCAGACAGCCAGGAUGUUGGCUUAGAAGCAGCCAUCAUUUAAAGAAAGCGUAAUAGCUCACUGGUCGAGUCGGCCUGCGCGGAAGAUGUAACGGGGCUAAACCAUGCACCGAAGCUGCGGCAGC
rnacentral:rRNA from 2 species